CCCCAAUCCCCCUCCCGUCCGAGCACGGCGCCCGCCGGCGCUCCACCGCGAUUCGCGAGGCCCAUCUGCUCCCUGGGCGGCAUGGCGUGCGCUGCCCCCUCACCCAAUCUCGCGCUUCAGUCUCAGUCCGGCAGUCGACGACGCUCUCCUCCCCCGCUGCCGCUGGAGGAGAGCGUCAUCGCGGUUCAGCAUCAUGGCGGUCGCGCGUGAGACCCAGCACAGAGAGGGGGCAGUGCUGAUUUGAACAGGGCCUCAAUUUCCACUCACAUGUGAAAUAUUUGCUCCAGGAUGUAGAUGUAUUUCUGAGGGAGUGUGCUACUACUUUUCUUGGAGAGUUCUACAAGGUAAUAGUAUAAAAUCACUCUUGACUCUUCUAAUUGGUUUGUGUACAUAACUUUUCAUUCCCAGUGGGUGCUUGGUUUGGACUAAUUAAUGGAUCAAUAAUCUCUGGACAAAGUUAUGCGUGCAGGAAAAAAUGGCUGGAAAGAGGAGUGGAGGCUGCACAGUGCAUGCACUCAGCAGGGUCACAUGUGAACAGAAUGCAGAGCAGAGGAGGCAGCAGCAGAGGACGCACUCCUAUCUCUCUCUCAAUUAUUGGGAGCUCUCACUCCCAGCCUCAGUCUCACACUCUCACUACUCGCGUCCUCAUCCUCCGUCGAUCCACCCACCGCCGGUGCCCCACGCUGCCGUCUCCAACUCCAACCUCGAUGCAGCGAAUAAAGGAAAGACGACGACGCCCAUGGCACAUGAAUUUUCAGUACCUGGGAGCUUGAGCAAGGACAAACCAGCUUAAUUACUUGUUCCCUGCUUGUGUCUCGUGCAAAUCGAACCAGGCGCGUCGUCGCCGCGGGAAGGGUCUACUGUACAGGUUCAUCACAGCCAAAUGAGCUACUGUGUUUGGAGAGACAAAGGGAAGUUUGAUGGUUAUAUGGAAUCAACAAAAUAAAAUGUAGGUGUGUGACAUCUUCUUAAUGAGUUGGACUGCACAAAGAAAUAAGAGGGAUCAUCUUUUGAUGUUGGUACUCAAGUGAGAACUUGGUGAGUGAGAUUUGGACACUUGGUUCGAGUUGUCGGAAACCUCAACAACCAUGGCGGAGGCUGUUGUUGGGCAGCUGGUGAUGACACUCGGGGCAGCGCUGGCGAAAGAGGCGGCAACCUAUGGUGGGGCGCUGCUGUGCAAGGAAGCCGCGGCCCUGAGGGGUCUCUUCGGCAAGAUCCGCCAGUCCAAGGUGGAGCUGGAGAGCAUGCAAGCGUACCUGCAGGAGGCGGAGCGGUUCAAGGACACCGACAAGACCACCGCCAUCUUCGUCGGCGAGAUCAGGCACCUGGCCUUCCAAAUCGAGGACGUCGUCGACGAGUUCACCUACAAGAUGGAGGACUGCAAGCACGGAGGGUUCGCCGGCAAGAUGAAGAAGCGGCUCAAGCAUAUCAAGACCCGGCACCGCCUGGCAGCCAAGCUCCAAGAAAUCGAAGCGCAGCUGCAGGAAGCCAACCGGAGGAAGAGGGAUUACGCUGUCACCGGCAGAUCUGCUUCUGCUGCCAGAUCGAUGAAUCAAGGUCAAGCUUUGCAAUUCACCAGGGAUGAGGAUCUUGUGGGGAUCGAGGAGAACAAGGAGAGGUUGAUACGGUGGCUGACAGGCGGUGGUGAUGGUCUGGGGCAGAACAGCAGCAAAGUCACCCUGGUGUGGGGGAUGCCUGGUGUUGGUAAAACCACUCUGGUUGAUCAUGUGUACAACACCGUGAAAGAGGAUUUCGAUGCCGCAGCGUGGGUAACUGUGUCGGAAAGUUACCGUAUUGAGGAUUUAUUGAAGAAGAUUGCCGGCCAGUUCGGCAUUGCAGUCGACAUCGCCAACGUUGAGAUGAGAGGCCUAGCAAAGUCCAUCCACCAGUACCUUCAAGGUAAAAAGUACAUCAUGGUCCUGGAUGAUGUUUGGGCUGAGUGCUUUUGGUCGGAGAUAAGGGAUGUCUUCCCAACAUCUAACUGUAUCGGCCGAGUUGUGAUGACAUCAAGAAAGCAGACAGUGUUGGUAACCAGGGAGUCCGCAUACGCAAUUCACUUGGAACCACUACAAGCAUAUCACUCCUGGGUGUUGUUCUGCAAAGGGGCUUUUUGGAAUGCUGAUGACAAAAGGUGCCCGUUGGAGCUGCAGGAAUUGGCUCGAAAGUUCAUAGCAAAGUGUCAAGGCUUGCCUAUUGCUAUUACAUGCAUUGGCCGCCUGCUCUCCUGGAAACUCCCAACUUCCGUUGAAUGGGAGGAUGUGUACAGGGGUUUGGAUUCGCAGUUGGCGAAAGAUGUGAUCCCUGAUGCUCAUAUGAUCCUAAAGGUCAGCUUGGAAGAUCUUCCAUAUGAUUUGAAGAAUUGUUUCUUACAUUGUGCAUUAUCGCCAGAAGAUUUUAAAUUAAAGAGGAGAAGGAUAAUCAGGCAAUGGAUUGCGGUGGGGUUUGUCAGGGAAAAAAAUGAGGGAAAAACAUUGGAGCAAGUGGCAGAGGGAUACUUGGUUGAGCUUGUUAAUCGAAGCCUGUUACAAGUAGUGCAAAGGAAUUAUGCCGGACGACUGAAAUAUUGCAGGAUGCAUGAUGUCAUACGGCUUCUUGCCCUUAGAAAAGCCAAGGAGGAAUGCUUUGGUAAAGUUUAUAAUGGCUCUGGUAUUGGGUCAUUCUUUGUAGAGGGUUCACGUCGCAUAUCAGUCCAGGGCGAAAACCUUGAACAAUUGAGCCUAUCUGGCCCAACACAGCUUCGUGCGCUCCAUGUAUUUGAGAAGUAUAUCAAUGUUGAUUUGCUGAAGCCUAUCCUAACAUCUUCUAAUUUGUUGUCGACAUUGGAUCUGCAAGGUACUUGUAUCAAAAUAUUGCCCAAUGAAGUAUUCAACUUGUUUAAUCUGCGUUAUUUGGGCAUUAGAGGUACCAAGAUCGAAAGCUUGCCUGAAUCGGUGGGGAGGUUACAAAACUUAGAAGUCUUGGAUGCUUGGGACUCUAAGAUGAAGUAUUUGCCAAACAAUGUUGUAAAACUUUAGAAGUUGAGAUACCUAUACACAUAUGUUGUCGGUUCAUUCGAAAUUGGUGUUAAGGUGCCUAGUGGCAUGCAGCACUUGGCAGGAUUGCGGGCUCUUCAGUCCAUCAACGCCAGUCCUGAGUUUCUGCGUGAAGUUGCAGCUCUGACGGAGCUAAGGACAUUUGGUGUCUGCAAUGUGGGAGGUGAACACUCUGCUGACUUGAGAAAUGCUAUCACCAAAAUGAGUCAUCUUGCGAGUCUCCAAAUUCGUGCUGCAGCUGAGGAUGAGGUGCUGCGACUGGAAGGGCUAUAUUUACCUGCAACCCUUCAUGUGCUUGGUUUAGGAGGGCAGCUAGAAAAAACAAUGAUGCCUCAGCUUUUCUCUUCUUGGUCACACCUUAAUAGCCUCACUCGGUUGCACCUGGCAUUCUCCAAUAUUGAUGAGGAAACCUUUUCCUGUCUGCACGUGUUACGUGGUCUAUGCUUUCUUUUCCUAGCGAAGGCUUUUGAAGGGCAGAGGUUGGAUUUUUAUGCAGGGUCAUUUCCAAAACUUAGGCAUCUAUGGAUAGAGGGUGCAACGCAGCUCAACCAAGUUGGAAUAGAGACUGGUGCGAUGCAAAACCUUGUCGAGCUACGGUUUGCAGACUGUCCCGAGCUAAAGUUUCUUCCUGAUGGCAUUGAACACCUCGCAGCCCUUGAGAAAUUAUUUAUGCAAGACAUAUCAAAAGAGUUGAUAGAGAAGCUCCGGCUGAACAGAGAUUCAAAUGAAUGCAGCGAAGAUGUAAUGAAGAUUAGUCACAUAAGGAAUGUUUCAGUUUGCCAAAGAGGAUCUUGGGAAAGGAUUGUGUGACCGUCACUAUUACCAAGACACAUUUCACUCAACUGUGGAGGAGACCAAGGACGUUGAGGUUACAUCUGCUGCCGUGGUUGUUAGUUGUUACUACUGUUAUAUAUGAGCUUCGUCCUGCUUUGGAUCGAAGGCAAGUGAGACGGGUCAGGUUCUUGAAGGCAAAUAUAGAGAUACAUUUAUGUGACGUGGCGAUUUCCUAGCAGAAAAGAAGAAAAAGAACUAUGAGCUGGCAUACUCAUCAGCGCACAAUCAUGAAGGGGACAACAUUGGCAUUGUUAGACAAGCUUCAGCAUGCCUGAAUGUGCCCACGUACCUGAUGCCACCGAUUCUACAUGAGUAGGCAGCGUUUCUUCGCUGAUCCAUCUUUCGAGCUUUUCAGUUUGUGUACUGCCCGUUAGCACUUGUAAUCUAUAUAAGCUUUAACAUGCAAGUAUCUGUUCCUCGUUAUUCAGCAGGCAUAUCCUGCUGGAAACACAAUCUGGAAUCAUGUUGCUGUAAACUAAAACUUUACUCACUUUCUGAGUAUAUGCAUGUUAGCUCCAAGUGAUGCUGGUUGAGUGUUCAUCCAAUAAUGCAAAGUUACUGUUUUGUUUGCAAACA
rnacentral:rRNA from 1 species